UUGAUGUUUGGCAACUGAUAUGAGAUGUGUCAGUACGGAAACCCAUUUGUCUCUAGUCUGUAAAACUAAUUGGAAUUGAUACAACUGUCAAGACUUUGCAGAUUUUUUUUCAGAAAACUUUCACCAAAAAAUUUCCUUUCAAUUUUAAUG
ensembl:ncRNA R05G6.18 ncRNA